AUGAGCUUUUGGGGAGCAACAGUAAUUACAAGCUUAGCUAGCGCCAUACCAGUAGUAGGAGAUACCAUAGUGACUUGGCUUUGGGGUGGUUUCUCCGUGGACAAUGCCACCUGAAAUCAUUUUUUUAGUCUCCAUCAUUUACUCCCCCUUAUUUUAGUAGGCGCCAGUCUUCUUCAUCUGGCCGCAUUGCAUCAAUAUGGAUCAAAUAAUCCAUUGGGUGUACAUUCUGAGAUGGAUAAAAUUGCUUCUUACCCUUAUUUUAUGUAA
rnacentral:rRNA from 1 species